rnacentral:tRNA from 1 species
GCAGUGGUGAUUCAGUGGUCAAGUUCUCCCCUUCCGUAUGGGAGAUCUGGGUUUGAUUCCCAGCCACUACA